rnacentral:sRNA from 1 species
GCGGACCCAAAACCGACACCUGCGAGACA